CCCUUAGAUGUCCUGGGCCUCACGCGCGCUACACUGAGUGUCUGAGAUACGAGUCUGCCUGGUCCGGCAAGGUCUAGGUAAUCGCUAAAAGACACAUCAUGCUUGGGAUAGAUUAUUGCAAAUAUUAAUCUUGAACGAGGAAUUCCUAGUAAGCGCAAGUCAACAGCUUGCGUUGAUUACGUCCCUGCCCUUUGUACACACCGCCCGUCGCUACUACUGAUUGGAUGUUUAAGCGAGGUUCUCGAACUGCUAGCGACUUAGCUUCGGUGAGGUCGCAGUGUGGGAAGUGAACCUAGCUUUGGUGUCUAGAGGAAGUAAAAGUCGUAACA
rnacentral:rRNA from 1 species